AUUACAAUUUUUUUCCCUCAGGAUGCUAACUAUUGGAAAAAAAAGAAAAAAACAAUCUAGCUGCAAAACGAUCAAGAGAUUCUCGAAGAGAAAGGGAAGCCCAAAUAUCAUUUCAGACCAAAUUUUUAGAAAGUGAAAAUGCAAAUUUACAACAAAAACUUGAAAAAUGUUUGCGACAAAAUGAAGAUUUAAAAAAGACUUAGCAAAUAUGAACCAGUCUAACACCUUCUAUCUUCUGAUUUAUUUUUACCGCAAUGAUACUGCCAAUAUAUAUUAUAAUCCAUGUUCUAUUAACAGUCAUAAGUUUUCACAAUUCAAUUUUAACGUGUUCAUUAAAUUAUAUUUGUUUGCUAUUUAUUGAUUAUAGUGAAAGAUUUUACUUUUUUUAUUAACUGUUCACUAUUUUUUAAGCGAAAGUUACUGAUUAUAUUGUAAUUAUAGCUAACAAUCAUGGGGAGGGUACUAUCAUAUUUAGUAAAAAUAACUAUAUUUUAAUGCAAUUAAACCCUCUCAGAUUUAUUUAAUUAUGAGAAAGCUCAUAUAUAUUUUACCUAUAUUACUAGUCGUUAGAAUAGGUUGUUAAUUUUGUAGAAAAAUUCAUACGCAUUAUUAUUUUUCUAACUAUUUUAAAAUUAUAUAAAAAUAUCAACUAAAUAUUAAGACUGGAUAGAAAUGAAAUUGAUGGCUAUAUUUUUAUUAAGUUAAGUUUUUCUCGUAAUAUUAUUAUAUCAAAGGAUUUUUGUAUAUAUUUUUUAUUUUCAAGGCUGCAUAAUUGUUUUCAAAAGUUCAAAA
rnacentral:lncRNA from 1 species